rnacentral:lncRNA from 12 species
AUUAAGAUAAAUAUAUAGGAAAAUGGAAAAGCAGAAAUUCUGAUGUUUUGCUUUUGAUUUUGCCAAGUUAAGUCAAUUCCAGGAGUCCUCUUUUCAGAAAGAUAAAUAAAUGCUGAAGACUUAUUUCCAACCAAUACAUGGAUGGCUGCCAAUGAGAAAAGCAAGCAGCAGAAAGUAUCAGCAAAGUAACUUGGCACUGGAUAAACCAGAAAGAGAAAAACCAAGAUCUCUUAGGAAGUUUGGGCACACAGACCUGAAAAGCAGAUGUGCUUUAGUAGGACAGGUAGAGGGAAGCAGCAGAAUGUGAGGAGGCUGCAGACCAUGCCAAGGUGGAGGAGGAGAUGCUGCAGAGUCCCCAGGGCUGACAGAGACUUGCCAUGUGACACAAUCUCUCCAUUCCAGAACUCCGAGGCUAGUGAUACCUGCAGUUGGUGGGUCAGAGCUCAAACCUCUGAUGUCACUGCUUUGGAAGGUUCCAGAAAACCUGUGGAAACAUGUUUACUCAGUGGAAGUGUGUUGACUCCAGCUGGUUCCUACCCUAGAGGAAUCACACAGUGCCUGCAGCCAAAAUAUCUCACUACCAGGAGGACCUUCAUCAGCAACUACUCUAUAACUCUUAUUCAUUUGUGGAAAUCCAUGGGCCUUUUUCCACCUCACCUUUCUAGUAGGCUAUUUCUCAGGCAAAAGACAGCACAUGCCUCGUACCUAUAA